AGUCAUAUGCUUGUCUCAAAGAUUAAGCCAUGCAUGUCUCAGUACAAGCCAAAGUAAGGUGAAACCGCGAAAGGCUCAUUAAAUCAGUUAUGGUUCCUUAGAUCGUACCCACACUUACUUGGAUAACUGUGGUAAUUCUAGAGCUAAUACAUGCAAACAGAGCUCUGACCGGAGACGGAAGGAGCGCUUUUAUUAGAUCAAAACCAAUCGGCGGCGGGUUCGCGCUCGUUCAAGCUGGUGAAUCUGAAUAACUUUUUGCUGAUCGCACGGUCUAGCACCGGCGACGCAUCUUUCAAAUGUCUGCCUUAUCAACUGUCGAUGGUAGGUUCUGCGCCUACCAUGGUUGUAACGGGUAACGGGGAAUCAGGGUUCGAUUCCGGAGAGGGAGCCUGAGAAACGGCUACCACAUCCAAGGAAGGCAGCAGGCGCGCAAAUUACCCACUCCCGGCACGGGGAGGUAGUGACGAAAAAUAACGAUACGGGACUCAUCCGAGGCCCCGUAAUCGGAAUGAGUACACUCUAAACCCUUUAACGAGGAUCAAUUGGAGGGCAAGUCUGGUGCCAGCAGCCGCGGUAAUUCCAGCUCCAAUAGCGUAU
rnacentral:rRNA from 1 species